rnacentral:lncRNA from 13 species
GAGAGAGAGAGAGAGAGAGAGAGAGAGACGGAGCCGGGGAGAGAGAGAGAGUGAGAGUGAGAGAGAGAGAGAGAGAGACGUGUGUGUAUCUGGUAUGUGUGUGUGAGUGUCUGUGUGCUGAUCAAGGGAGUCAUUGAUUUUAGGUUCAGAUUGCAGAUGGGAACAGGUAACACGAUACAGUACUAUCGAAAUACAAUAUGGACUUUAACAGUCUGGAAAGGUUUGAUGAAACGUUGAUGUCAAAAAACAAACAACAAUUUAAGAGGUAAAGCCUUUUACCAUACUGGAUAAUGAGUAGCCUAAAGGUUAUUCAUACAAGUUGUCCUAUGUAGGCCACACUUAAUCAAUAAGGCCCAGGGGGUCUAAGGGCUGUUUUUACGCAAAAUCACCCUCCUUCCUCUGCCCUCUUAUCGCUCUCUUCCUCCCCUCCCACCCACCUGAUUCAAUCAAAUCGCCUCCGAUGCUAUGCGCUUAAAGUGUUUUCCUGUGACAGUAGAGCGAGAGAACCAGAAAUGUGACAGCUCAGUCGUGUGGCAGGAUUCAAGCAGAAAGACAGGCACCCAGGCCGGGCAGAAGCAGUGGGAGACGCCGCUGUAGACCACCGGAACGGAGAACCUGUCGCCUUAGAUCAACUUACGAAGCGCGAAGAUUGAAGACAGAAGAGAGUCUGGUCACAUUGUCUUCUCCCUCUCCUCCUUCUCCCAAGUCCUUUCCUCCAGUCCUCCUUCUCCCAAGUCCUUUCCUCCAGUCCUCCUUCUCCCAAGUCCUUUCCUCCAGUCCUCCUUCUCCCAAGUCCUUUCCUCCAGUCCUCCUUCUCCCAAGUCCUUUCCUCCAGUCCUCCUUCUCCCAAGUCCUUUCCUCCAGUCCUCCUUCUCCCAAGUCCUUUCCUCCAGUCCUCCUUCUCCCAAGUCCUUUCCUCCAGUCCUCCUUCUCCCAAGUCCUUUCCUCCAGUCCUCCUUCUCCCAAGUNNNNNNNNNNUGAUGUACGAAGGGCUAUAUAAAUACAUUUGAUUUGAUUUGAUUUGACAUACGCACAAUUAAAGUCAUAGGCAGUAUUUCCAAUAUGUUCAAUAAGGCAGUAAAUGUACAGUGAAUAUAUAGUAAAAUAUACCGUAAAUGUACAACCGACCAUCAACACUAGAAGGCAGCAAAGAGCCACAUGAUGUUAAAACAUUAUCGCCAAUCAUUUCCAAUCUGGUGUGUGCUUGUGUGUGAGUUUCUGUGUGACCUAGGUAUCCUAUUUUCAGAUCUUUGUCAACUCCUUACCUCCUUAGCUCCUUACCUCUGUCUCGGGAAACAAGAAAGACCUAAAAGGCUAAAAGAAAGAGAGAGAGAACCAACCUCCUUUUUGUCUUAUUGUCACAGCUGACUAUACUACCAUGUCCCAGCUCCACUAUGUCCAUGUUUCCACGUUAUUAAGGGCCUGUCAGAGGUGCUACCAUGUCCCAAAUCCACUAGGUCCACGUUGUCAGGGGCAACCACUGGAAGAAAGGAACUAGCAUACCAGUAUCCACGGUGUGUAUCCUACAGUAUAUCUACCAUUGGCGCCAGGGACAGAGAGAGACGGAGAAGGGGAGAGAGAGAGAGAGACACAGACAGANNNNNNNNNNUCCUUUCCUCCAGUCCUCCUUCUCCCAAGUCCUUUCCUCCAGUCCUCCUUCUCCCAAGUCCUUUCCUCCAGUCCUCCUUCUCCCAAGUCAUUCAGUCCUCCUUCUCCCAAGUCAUUCAGUCCCCCUUCUCCCAAGUCCUUUCCUCCAGUCCUCCUUCUCCCAAGUCAUUCAGUCUUCCCUCUCCCAAGUCCUUCAGUCCUCCUUCUCCCAAGUCCUUU